rnacentral:misc_RNA from 1 species
CAGCUGGUUAGACCCCGCAGCCCAGACGCAGACACUUCUUCACCUGCGCAGGAGCUCUGCACACAUUCCUCCCCUCUCCCCCUACACUUCGCGUGGCGUGUCGCGCUUUCAUAUCCAUUCCGUCUCUAGUUCUGUCUGCUGCGGCUGCCGCCUCCAGUUGACGAGAGCUUCCACACACACACACACACGCACGAACACGCACGCGCCCGUACUCGCACACACGAACAUAAACGAAGAGGGGCGCACCUACGCUCGCACGUAUAAACGCACGUCUCUCUCUCUACAUAUAGAGAGAACGAGACUCCGUCCUCUUAUCACGAUCCGUACACGUGCGCUUCCUUUGCGCCCCUUCUUCACCUACACUCACCGAUGGUUUUCGUCUUCACGUCAGUCAUCUCUUUUUCCUGUUUUCUUGGCUUUGGCCUUCACCGAAACGUUAUAGAUCCUUGUACGCAGGGGCGUCUCUGUCCACUGUUGGCCCUCCCCCCAUUUUCUUUGUCCAUGUGUCUGUGCGUGUGCUCGAAAUAGAGAGAGAGGAGGCUUCACACUUCCUUCUAUACAGGUAAAUAUUUUCUUAGUCUGUUGCACUCACCAGGAACACGUACAAGUCUCUCGGUCCUUCCCUCUUGCUUCGCUUGCCGCUGAUCCUCCCCAUCGUUUGCGAUCCACAUCUCUCCGCAACGCUGCAGCACGUUCCUGAUCGACUUCUCUGUCGUUCUCUUGUCUUCUUUCUCGGUACAGCUCCUCUCAAGACACUCCUGAUACGUGCGCAUCUGCAAGCGCACGCAUACAGGAAGUAAUCGUGCACGCGCGCCUACCACACGUACCUACAACGCUCGAAGAGAGCGAGCGAGAGUGAGAGCAACUCCCCUUCCUGGUGUGACCCGUGCAAAGAAGGCGUGCGCGAAUCGCCGUUGCUGCGGCUCUUGUGUCCAACCCUCCUUUUUUUUUUUGAGUCUUUCUGGUCCAUAGAGACGUGUUCCGUUAUAGAGAAGAGAGCGUCGCACGCGCAGGCACGCUCUACCAUCAUGCGUCCAUAUGCCCAUCUUCUUCAGCGCUGCCUAGGCGGUGCGCUGCACAAUUCUCCUCUUCUUUUUGCCUCUGCGAAAUCUCGUUCAAGUGGCAGCGGAGGGGGCCGCGCUGUGGCUGCUGUGGCGCCGCCGAACAGGAUCAAAAACGACGGGGAGCUGCUCCGUUCGACGGAGGACAGGUACGGGGGCUCGGCGGGGUCUCGCCGACGCCAGCGCCCCACACCAGCGCAGCUACUAGCCAACCAUGGUGGCGGCGGUUCUCAAGGUGCUGUCAGUGACGCUGUGAGCCCUGUGGAGCGACUUCUGAAGAAGCAUGAGGUGAGUGCCGGCGGCGGCACUGCCAACGCUAUCCCUGUCCCGAGCAAAUCUCGGCAGAGGGUGAAAAACGGGCUCGUGGUUCCUCCCACGCGUGCCGAGGAGCCGACAUCUGGUGGAGGCACAGAUGAUGAUGGGGAUGACCUUGGCGGGGCGCUUUCUCUGUUGCCUUCGGCGACACCGGCAGCAAAGCAGCAGCAGCUCUUGACGAACCCCUUCCGCGGCCUACACGCCGAUGUGACCCGUAGCUACCGUGUCGACCAGCUGAGGGAGGUGGCGACAGCGGCUGACUUGAUGCUCGCACGGCAGGAGAAGAAGUCCACCGCCUUCUCCUUCUUGCACUUCCGUGCCGGUGAGCGUUUCUAUCAAGGGCACUGGGGGAGCGUGGCCGACAUGCAGGCGCAGUUCGAUGCGUUCACCGAGGCCGCGCAGACGACGCUGUCCAAGCGCAUCUCGAGGCCGUACUUGCGCGGUACGCCGAUCCCCGGCCUGACACUCUUCAACAACGAUCUCGGCCUGCAAAGCCCGCUCGUGCAGUGCAGCUAUCCCCUGAUCGUUGCUCAGCGGCUGCUGCUCUUCCCCGAUUACUUACGGCACUUCCACACCAUCUGCGGACGUGAGAACGUGCCCUGCGACUUCUACGCCGACAUCGACCUCCCUGGCGAGUCUGCCGCCGGGGCGGAGAAGAUGUUGCUGGAAGUGCUCAACUACCUGGAGGUGCGGCUGCCCGGCGUGGGCUUCACUGACCCCUUCUUUCUUGUCUUGACGAACGCCGUACCGAGCAGGGAUAAGGUGUCGUACCACAUUCAUGCUCGGAGCUUCACACACAUGAAAAACCGCCCACUCGCCAGCAACGCUGAGGCGAGCACGAACGGCAAAGCGAAACGCAAGUCCGCCAGACAGAUGAAGGCCAAGGCAGCUGCAUCAGCUCCGGCAGCGCCAGCCGACCGCAAGUUUGACGAGGAUGACAUAGACGAGGAACACGACGAAGAUCCGUACGACGACCUGAGCGACAUGGUCAGCGCUGUGGAUGCCGGCGGCAAGGGCUCGACGUCCUCGCGCGGCGGCAGUGCUGCCACCCCCAAGGUGGUAGCGUUCCAGGACUACCGCGCCGUGAAGCUCAUCGCCGAUGAGGUGAACCAAACAAUCGGCCGGGACAUCGUUGACCACAACUGCUACCGGACGAACGGCAUGCUGCGCUGCGCCUUCAGCGCCAAGAUGCCCUCUGCACAGGAUCACAACUACCAUCAGCAGACCGACAACGGCGCGGCGGCGGCGCGCAAGCGUCUUGUGCCGCUUGUGACCGCCUCCGACCCGGCUUUGCAGCAGCGGCUGUCGGAGACCGAGUCGGUGCUCCGCACCAUGACGGACCCCGAAGUGCUGGAGCUCACUUUCGUCACGAGGCACCUGGACGCGGACGCCAAGGUGAUCAAGGCCGCCCGCAAACAUGCCACGAGUCUCUUGGCGCACGAGAGUGAUGCCCCCGCCGAGAGUGCGGAGCAACUGCACCGCGCCGCCGUGUUGGACGCGACAACAAGGCACCGCUUUAAGCUGAUUCGGCCGCGCCAGAUCAUGGGCCCACAGGCAACGCAGGCCGUGGAGUACGACGCCUACGGCAACGUCGUGCCGCCCUUCCUCACAGAGGCCGCAAAGUGGCGCCGCUUCAAGGCGGUCACGGCGAAGCUGCGCACCUUGCCGCCUCGAGCUGCGGAGAGCUACGACGUGUGGGUGCGUGUUGGCCUUGCCCUUCACAACUUCAGCAACGAAGACCACGUCUUCGAGGAGUGGGUGCGCUUCUCGCUCAAGUCACCGCUCAAGUACUCGCGGGAGGUCUGCCGUAAGAAGUGGAUGCAGUUCGAACGCAAUCCCGACGCGCUGAACUGGCGCCGUGGGUUCAACUAUCUGAACUCGACUGUGUGGCGCCAGGUGUGAUGAUGCAAGGAGGAAGGUGGAUAUACGUACACGCCACGCACCUACACGCAUCUUUGUGCCUCCGCGUGAUACGCACAUGGCCGCAUGAGCUGUGGCGCUGCCAAGCGGCGAGAGACACAUAGAGGAGUUGAGAAAGGGAUCUGCCAGCCUUGCUUGCUGCCAUUCUUUAUGAAGUGCGCAAGCGUGUGUCGUUGGUGGGCCGAGGGUAUCGUGUGGUGAGGAACGAAAAAGCGAUGCGCGCUGGUGCGCGUGUGUGCAUGUGCGGCUUGCAACAGCGUAGAAGCAGAGACCGGAGUAAGGAGUCGAGAGAAAGAACAGAACCCAAAGUGGCGGUGAUGUUCCUGGUGACGGUGGUGGCGUCGGUGGUGUGGGGUCUUGAAACGUGCGUUGGUUACUACCCCAACGAAACAACGACAAAAUGUUUACGCCGUUUCCCGUUCCCCCCCCCCCCCCCCCCCGCGUUCUCCAGUUGUUCAUCGAACACACACCACUUAGACCCGCAGCCGCCACCAUCUUUCAAACUCUCACUCAUACACAGUUUUCUCCGUUGGCUUGUUUCUUCACGUCCUCUCUCCUUUCCAUCUCCGUGCAUAGUGGGCCUGCUCUCCUCUCCAAAGUGGCUUAGUUCUAAGCACCCUCACCCCCGCCCCCUCUCUCUCGCUUUCUUUACUUAUUCUUUACUCUUCCCCGUCCGCACAUCCUCAACACGUGUUUUGUGCGUAUCACGGUCGCCGCACGCGCUUUACCUGUACUUCUCUCGGCGACUCUGCUCUCACCUCUUCCCCUGUGGUUGGGACGGGGUUUUUCUUUCGCUCUCGUGCUUCGAUGGACGUCUCUGCCGAUGCCCUUCGAUUUUUUUUCUAGGCUGGCGUUUGUUUUCUUCACGACCCCCACCCUUUAUAGCUGCACGUUCUACCGGUUGUGUCGCUCGGUGUGUUCUGCGGGCUCUCUCAGCGCCUUUAUGUAGGCGACGUCCGUCGCUCUUUUCACUCUCUCCUGCUUGUCAUGGUCUUGGCGAGUUCGUGCGUGUGUGCGUGGGGGGGGGGGGGAGGGAUCCUUUACGCAAGAGACGCGCCCGGAUGCCGGAGGGUGCUGGGAGAGGGGUUGUUGGGUGGCUGUCGCUUUAAUCAUGGAUGAAGGAUCUGGCCGGGUGUGCAUUCACUAAUAGGGGUUUCGGCGUCUGUGAUUGCUGUCCUUGCGUACACGAGUGUAUCUAGGUGCUUGUAUUCAUGCACGCACAUGUCUUUCGCCUAUCGGCUACCCUGCCCGCACCUCUCUCUCUCUCGUUCUCUCUCUCUCGCAUUGGCGGGUGGUGGCCUGUCGUCGUUGCGGAGGCGCUUGUUUCGAUGGAACAUCGUUUUCAUGCGCUCGUGCGCGGACGAGAUCGCGCGCUUUCUUUCCCCUCGCUGGUGAUGGUGGGGGUUGGGUGGAUGCGCGUGCUCUCUCUCUCUCUUUCUUUCCAAUUUGCGAGUGCCGCGGCGGUUUUGCACACGCUCGUGUCUUCGCUGGUCGCCUGUCGUUCGGUUCCACAUGUUUUGUGCGCGCGUGCGUCUCCAUCUCUCCUGCACGCGUCCACUCAAUCGCUAUCCGUGCAAUGUGUGAGGGCAAGGUGCACUGAAUGUCUCUAUCGCGUGCACGAGGGGGCAGAGUCGGGUUCGAGAGAGGGGAGGGGGGAGGUCUACCCUGCCUCUUCCUCCCUGUGUAGGCGUGCAGUUCUUCUUCGUAUGUAAGGGUUGUCUUGGCAUCAUCUUAGUGGUAGGCUCACUUCAAGCAGCAAAAGCAGAAAAAAGCGCGGCAUCCCUUUACCCCGUGCUGCACACGCGUGCGCGUGAGCGGGCGCUCGUGUCCGUGACAGGAACGACGCGCUGGCGGAAAGA